rnacentral:rRNA from 1 species
ACAGGUGGUCGGGUAGAGAAUACCAAGGCGCUUGAGAGAACUCGGGUGAAGGAACUAGGCAAAAUGGUACCGUAACUUCGGGAGAAGGUACGCUCUUGAUGGUGAAGUCCCUCGCGGAUGGAGCUGACGAGAGUCGCAGAUACCAGGUGGCUGCAACUGUUUAUUAAAAACACAGCACUGUGCAAAAUCGCAAGAUGACGUAUACGGUGUGACGCCUGCCCGGUGCCGGAAGGUUAAUUGAUGGGGUUAGCGCAAGCGAAGCUCUUGAUCGAAGCCCCGGUAAACGGCGGCCGUAACUAUAACGGUCCUAAGGUAGCGAAAUUCCUUGUCGGGUAAGUUCCGACCUGCACGAAUGGCGUAAUGAUGGCCACGCUGUCUCCACCCGAGACUCAGUGAAAUUGAAAUCGCUGUGAAGAUGCAGUGUACCCGCGGCUAGACGGAAAGACCCCGUGAACCUUUACUACAGCUUGGCACUGAACAUUGAACCUACAUGUGUAGGAUAGGUGGGAGGCUAUGAAGACGUGACGCCAGUUGCGUUGGAGUCGUCCUUGAAAUACCACCCUUGUAUGUUUGAUGUUCUAACUUAGACCCAUUAUCUGGGUUGAGGACAGUGCCUGGUGGGUAGUUUGACUGGGGCGGUCUCCUCCCAAAGAGUAACGGAGGAGCACGAAGGUGGGCUAAUCACGGUUGGACAUCGUGAGGUUAGUGCAAUGGCAUAAGCCCGCUUAACUGCGAGAAUGACGGUUCGAGCAGGUGCGAAAGCAGGUCAUAGUGAUCCGGUGGUUCUGUAUGGAAGGGCCAUCGCUCAACGGAUAAAAGGUACUCCGGGGAUAACAGGCUGAUACCGCCCAAGAGUUCAUAUCGACGGCGGUGUUUGGCACCUCGAUGUCGGCUCAUCACAUCCUGGGGCUGAAGUCGGUCCCAAGGGUAUGGCUGUUCGCCAUUUAAAGUGGUACGCGAGCUGGGUUUAGAACGUCGUGAGACAGUUCGGUCCCUAUCUGCCGUGGGCGUUGGAAGAUUGAAGGGGGCUGCUCCUAGUACGAGAGGACCGGAGUGGACGAACCUCUGGUGUUCGGGUUGUGUCGCCAGACGCAUUGCCCGGUAGCUAAGUUCGGAAUUGAUAAGCGCUGAAAGCAUCUAAGCGCGAAGCGAGCCCUGAGAUGAGUCUUCCCUGAUACUUUAAGUAUCCUAAAGGGUUGUUCGAGACUAGAACGUUGAUAGGCAGGGUGUGUAAGCGUUGUGAGGCGUUGAGCUAACCUGUACUAAUUGCCCGUGAGGCUUAACCAU